rnacentral:lncRNA from 1 species
AGAGAUGGCCAAGGGGACCGACAGACAGGAGGACUGACAGACAGAGACCUUCGUCAAAGGUAUCCACCCUAGAAAAUCGGAAUAAGUGGUUGCAGGCAAGCAAAGCAUAUGAUGGUGUCCCUGUGAUGUUCAGAUGGCUCAGAAGAUGUAUUUGGUUCAAGAUUGGAUGGGGAGUGGCAGACCUCCACUUUGGCCAGUGAGGUGAGUGGCUGUGGCAGACUGCAUGAUGCGUCCAAACCCUUCUGAUCAGACUGAUCCU